UAGUCCACGCCGUAAACGAUGGUCACUAGCUGUUCGGACUUCGGUCUGAGUGGCUAAGCGAAAGUGAUAAGUGACCCACCUGGGGAGUACGUUCGCAAGAAUGAAACUCAAAGGAAUUGACGGGGGCCCGCACAAGCGGUGGAGCAUGUGGUUUAAUUCGAUGAUACGCGAGGAACCUUACCAGGGCUUAAAUGUAAGUUGCAUUAGCUAGAGAUAGUUAUUUCUUCGGGACUACUUACAAGGUGCUGCAUGGUUGUCGUCAGCUCGUGCCGUGAGGUGUCAGGUUAAGUCCUAUAACGAGCGCAACCCCUAUCUUUACGUUGCCAGCACAUUAUGGUGGGGACUCUAAAGAGACUGCCGGCGUAAGCCGCGAGGAAGGUGGGGAUGACGUCAAAUCAUCAUGGCCUUUAUGCCCAGGGCUACACACGUGCUACAAUGGACAGGACAGAGGGUCGCCGAAAGCCCGACGAGGUGGAGCUAAUCCCAGAAACCUGUUCUCAGUUCGGAUUG
rnacentral:rRNA from 1 species